UACGGAGGGUGCAAGCGUUAUCCGGAUUCACUGGGUUUAAAGGGUGCGUAGGUGGGAUGGUAAGUCAGUGGUGAAAUCUCCAAGCUUAACUUGGAAACUGCCGUUGAUACUAUCAUUCUUGAAUCUCGUGGAGGUAAGCGGAAUAUGUCAUGUAGCGGUGAAAUGCUUAGAUAUGACAUAGAACACCAAUUGCGUAGGCAGCUUACUACACGAUCAUUGACGCUGAGGCACGAAAGCGUGGGGAGCAAACAGG
rnacentral:rRNA from 1 species